rnacentral:rRNA from 1 species
AGAGGUUUGAUCCAUGGCUCAGGACGAACGCUGGCGGCGUGCCUAAUACAUGCAAGUCGAGCGGGGGACAUGAACGGAAACCUUCGGGUGGAAGUUGAUGCGCCCUAGCGGCGGACGGGUGAGUAACGCGUGGGUAAUCUGCCUUUCAGCCCGGGAUAACCACCGGAAACGGUGGCUAAUACCGGAUGCGGUACCAAGAGUGCAGGCUUUUGGUACGAAAGAUUUUAUCGCUGAAAGAUGAGCCCGCGUCCCAUUAGCUAGUUGGUAGGGUAAAAGCCUACCAAGGCGACGAUGGGUAGCCGGCCUGAGAGGGUGGACGGCCACACUGGGACUGAGACACGGCCCAGACUCCUACGGGAGGCAGCAGUAGGGAAUCUUGCGCAAUGGGGGCAACCCUGACGCAGCGACGCCGCGUGGAGGAUGAAGGCUUUCGGGUCGUAAACUCCUGUCCUCAGGGACGAUGAUGACGGUACCUGAGGAGGAAGCCCCGGCUAACUACGUGCCAGCAGCCGCGGUAACACGUAGGGGGCAAGCGUUGUCCGGAUUUCUGGGCGUAAGGGUGCGUAGGCGGUCUGUUAGUCCUGUGUGAAAGGUCCGGCUUAACCG